GGCUGAGUGGUCCAAUGGUAAAGCGCUCGCCGUGGAGCCAGACGGUUCUGGGUUCGAUUCCCAACAGGGUCG
rnacentral:tRNA from 1 species